rnacentral:rRNA from 1 species
GACGAACGCUGGCGGCGUGCUUAACACAUGCAAGUCGAACGGAAAGGCCCUGCUUGCAGGGUCCUCGAGUGGCGAACGGGUGAGUAACACGUGGGUGAUCUGCCCUGCACUUCGGGAUAAGCCUGGGAAACUGGGUCUAAUACCGGAUAGGAGCCAUUUUUAGCGUGAUGGUUGGAAAGUUUUUUCGGUGUAGGAUGAGCUCGCGGCCUAUCAGCUUGUUGGUGGGGUAAUGGCCUACCAAGGCGGCGACGGGUAGCCGGCCUGAGAGGGUGGACGGCCACAUUGGGACUGAGAUACGGCCCAGACUCCUACGGGAGGCAGCAGUGGGGAAUAUUGCACAAGGGGCGCAAGCCUGAUGCAGCGACGCCGCGUGGGGGAUGACGGCCUUCGGGUUGUAAACUCCUUUCGCUAGGGACGAAGCUUUUUGUGACGGUACCUAGAGAAGAAGCACCGGCUAACUACGUG